AGGGGCCGGAAGUGACCACUGCAGCAGGGGCCGGAAGUGACUACUGCAGCAGGGACAGGAAGUGACCACUGCAGCAGGGGCGGGAAGUGACCACUGCAGCAGGGGCCGGAAGUGACCGCUCACAUCACACCCAGGUUACAGUCCAUCACUGCAGGGAGGUCGGUGCAGCAGGGGCCGGAAGCGACUACGCACAUCACACCCAGACUAAAGCAGAGAGCACUGGGUGUACGCACGCACGCACGCACGCACGCACGCACACCAGCCCUCAGCUCACUUUCUCCACAAUUCAGGAUCCCUUGCCCAGGGAAUGGUGUCACCCACACUGGGUGAUUCUUCCCACGAUGAGGUCCUUCACUGAGACUGCCUUCCGGGUGAUCCCAGACUGUGUCAAGCUGACAACGGAAACUCACCACCACUGAGGAUGUGUGAAACCGAGCCCCACUUCGUGCCUGGGAGUCAUUGGGAAGGGGUGCACUUCUGGUCAAGGAAUUCUUCCCGGUCAGAUGAGAGGAGAGGAGGGAAGAGAACUGGUUAAAGUGUGGCUCUUUGAGUCUGAAUCAUUUGUCGUCAUAGCAAGAACAUUUGUGUCCGGAAUAAACUGAGUUGGACAAGAGCUCAACAUUUCCUUCUGAAUAGAAUGAGGUUUCAGUCACAAAAGGAAAUUGCACAGACAUGGAGCAUCCCUGUACAGAGCAGGCCACCAGGAUCCUGCACAUUCAGGAGAAAUACAGCAGGACUGAGCCAUCCACAGCAGGCCAGAAGCUGGAGGAGGGAAAUGGCCCAUCAGCUUAUCUUGAUUUCCCAGGAUGCACCUAGCGUCAUGUAGUGGACCACUACAUCCUGAGAGAACACAUCUCAGCUCUGAAGCUACCCAUUUCAUGGACCUGAAGCCUGGAAACCAAUCUCAAUCCUGCUGACAGCUCAGGAUUAUGACUACGUGCCUCAAAUCACAUAGCCCAGGAGGGAAGUGUGAUCAUGGCCCAGAAAGGUGAUAUUCUGGGUUCACCUUGGACAUAGGGGAGCAAGUACAGCCCAAGUGCCUCCUGCACAGGAUGGAGUCACCAUCCAGGGCCCCUUGUGAUGUAGAAUGUGAUUAUCUUGUGAGAACAAACUUCGAGAGCCAGCUGGACAAACCCAACCACCCAGAAAUGAAG